UACGUAGGGUGCAAGCGUUAAUCGGAAUUACUGGGCGUAAAGCGUGCGCAGGCGGUGAUGUAAGACAGAUGUGAAAUCCCCGGGCUUAACCUGGGAACUGCAUUUGUGACUGCAUUGCUGGAGUGCGGCAGAGGGGGAUGGAAUUCCGCGUGUAGCAGUGAAAUGCGUAGAUAUGCGGAGGAACACCGAUGGCGAAGGCAAUCCCCUGGGCCUGCACUGACGCUCAUGCACGAAAGCGUGGGGAGCGAACAGG
rnacentral:rRNA from 1 species